CCAUCCUGUGGUGACCACGUUCUUGCUCAUGUUAUGUUGGACCUUAACAGUUGUGCAUGUUGGGGGUUAGGUGGGUAGGAGAGUGCCUUGAUCAUUUAGUCAUAUCUGUAUAGUGUCUGGGAGGGACAAAUGGCUGUAUUUCUUGUACAUUAUUAUGUCUGGUUGAUGAUUUUCAUUUUUUGUGCUCAUUUCUGAGGCAGUGGAUCUGUAUUCAACUGGCAAGGUAUAGUUGAAUACGUGAAAAUGUUUUAUAUUGUUUUAGAAAUAUGUGUUUUAUAAAAAUGUGAACAUACAGAGUCGAGUAGACUAUAGGUUUUAAAAGAUGAAAUGUCUUUUUUGAAUCAGGUUUGUUACAGAAAGAGAAAAUGGCAGUUGAAGCAUUUCAGAUUUGUUGCCUCCUCCUGCCUCCUGAGAACAGGAGAAAGUUACAGCUGCUGAUGAGGAUGAUGGCGAGGAUCUGCUUAAACAAAGAAAUGCCACCCUUGUGUGAUGGUUUUGGCACUCGGACACUGAUGGUCCAGACAUUUUCUCGUUGCAUCUUGUGUUCCAAGGAUGAAGUAGACUUGGAUGUAUUAUUAGCUGCUAGGUUGGUGACAUUUUUGAUGGACAGUUACCAGGAGAUUCUGAAAGUCC
rnacentral:lncRNA from 1 species